AGUUUGGCAGAGAAAUCUUUAGAGCAUCCGUGCAAACUGGGAAGAUAGGGAUCCACUCUACACCAGGCGUGAGGAGGUUAAACAACAACAGAGCAUAAAGGUAAGAAUCUCUGCUUGAUUUCAGCUCCCUGUUGGCCCAGCGCUGCUAAGACAUCUGGGUAAGAGGUGCUUGGGUCCAGCCAAGAUAAGACAGGCGCCAUACUAGCUGGACUUGGCCCCACUCCACCCUCUACGACUAGCCACUGAUUCCUACUGGACUCAAAGGACGGUGUGAGGUGACCUGGAUCGGUAUGAGGACACAUGGACUGAGAGUGAGGGGAACCCCAGGACGGGCAGGGCUGCUUCUUCUCAGUGGGCACUUAUCCUGAGCGUCAGGAGGAGUAGCUGACAAAUGAGUGCAAGGUGUGCUCAAACUUAU